GACGAACCGUGCGAACGUUGUUCGGAAUCACUGGGCUUAAAGGGCGCGUAGGCGGCCCGCCGCGUCCGGGGUGAAAUCCUCCCGCUCAACGGGAGGACGGCCUCGGAUACGGGCGGGCUGGAGGGGGGGGUAGGGGCACGCGGAACUGUGGGUGGAGCGGUGAAAUGCGUUGAGAUCCACAGGAACUCCGGUGGCGAAGGCGGCGUGCUGGACCCCACCUGACGCUGAGGCGCGAAAGCGUGGGGAGCAAACAGG
rnacentral:rRNA from 1 species